GACGAACGCUGGCGGCGUGCCUAAUACAUGCAAGUCGAACGAGAGCGACCGGUGCUUGCACUGGUCAAUCUAGUGGCGAACGGGUGAGUAACACGUGGGUAACCUGCCCAUCAGAGGGGGAUAACAUCCGGAAACGGAUGCUAAAACCGCAUAGGUCCUUUAACCGCAUGGUUGAAGGAGGAAAAGAGGCGCAAGCUUCUGCUGAUGGAUGGACCCGCGGUGCAUUAGCUAGUUGGUGAGGUAACGGCUCACCAAGGCCGUGAUGCAUAGCCGACCUGAGAGGGUGAUCGGCCACAUUGGGACUGAGACACGGCCCAAACUCCUACGGGAGGCAGCAGUAGGGAAUCUUCCGCAAUGGACGCAAGUCUGACGGAGCAACGCCGCGUGAGUGAAGAAGGUUUUCGGAUCGUAAAACUCUGUUGUUAGAGAAGAACAAGUGCUAGAGUAAACUG
rnacentral:rRNA from 1 species